AGCGAGAUGGCGCAGCUGGUAGCGCGCUGGGCUCAUAUGCGCCGGUCUUGUGGGCGCAAGGAUGACCCAGAGGUCGUCGGAUCGAAACCGACUCUCGCUA